rnacentral:rRNA from 1 species
GUCCCAGCUGUAAACGAUGCAAACUCGGUGAUGCAUUGGCUUAUGGCCAAUGCAGUGCCGCAGGGAAGCCGUUAAGUUUGCCGCCUGGGAAGUACGGUCGCAAGACUGAAACUUAAAGGAAUUGGCGGGGAGCACCACAAGGGGUGAAGCCUGCGGUUCAAUUGGAGUCAACGCCAGGAAUCUUACCUGGGGAGGACAGCAGAAUGAAGGUCAAGCUGAAGACUUUACCAGACAAGCUGAGAGGAGGUGCAUGGCCGUCGC